rnacentral:lncRNA from 1 species
AAAGGUUUUAGAAUAAAAAUUUAGGUUAAAUUAGAGAAAAUUUUUCUAUCAAAAUUUGCUUUUUUAUUUUUUCUCUCCAACUUUUAAACUUUUAUAUUUUGCCCACUUAAAAAUUAAAAAAUAUUUAUUUUGUUUCUCGCUGUCAGGAUUCUAUUAAGGUUCCAUCCAUUUUCUAUUAUCAUAUAUUUUUUAUAUCCAAAAUACCUAUCUACCUCUCUCUGCAGCCUCCUCCUCCUUCCUUUGCUGAGGUCCUCGGCAGCAUACCUCGCUUCUCGCCUCCCUUCGCAGCAGUUUAAGUUCCCUACCCACACCCACGCCCUCGCUCUCCUCUACUACCUCGCCGUCGUCUACCUCUCAGUACGCGCUUAUUCCAAUCUUGUGCCCCACUGUCGCAGGAGAAAGGGUUGCAGACGAGGACAAGUUGGGGAGAAGACGAAAAAGAUGAGUACAUUUUGGUCUUUUUUCAUUAUAAUUAACACCAUACCUCCUGUGAACAUUUUUUAAUUUUCGAGAUGGCAAAAUAAAAAUUUUUAAAAGUUGGAAAAAAAAAGUGAAAAAAUGGAUUUUGACGUAAGGGUUUACUGUAAUUUAGCCUGAAAUUUAAGUAUUUUAUAAGAUAUCACUAGAAUUAGUUUCCUACUCAAUUAUUUUAAAUUUAAAUUUUCAUUACAUCAAAU